rnacentral:sRNA from 1 species
UGCAUUUGAAGCCCAUGAGGAUGAGAACCUCCGGGGCGGGGAGGUUCGACUCGAGCGAAGCGAGAGAACGUUGCGCCAGCAACGGCCCGCAGGGCGAGCCACGAAGUGGCGAGUAAUCCUCUAUCACCGACCA